rnacentral:misc_RNA from 1 species
CAACAAGAUAUAAUUUGAGGAUCCAUUUCACUGGGACAAGGAUGCAGGAGAGGUUUCUACCAGUGAAAGAUCAUGUAUUUGGAAGACAUUAUAUAUUAUUUUUGACCUUCCCUUACAUUGUUGCUGAAGAACCUAUUUAAGUGUUGUUUCUUCGUUGUGAAUUCUUGACCCUGUUAAAUGGUUGUUUAUUGUUAGUAUCUUUGGGUUGGUGACGAUUUUUUCGAGACAUGUUUGGAAUUUAGCCUCUCAGUUAUGGUUUUGAAAAUCUUUUUGGAUUUUAGGCUGGGUUGUAUAGAAGAAGCCUAGAUAUUUAACAUCCAUUUGAAACAGAAACAGCAAUUCUAAAGAGACUUUCUUGGAUAUUCGAGAGUUUUCAAUUUGUUUUGGAUUUUAAAUGUUGAUCAGCUGAAUGUCCAGUUGAUCCAUAUACAUGUAUUAAAAUUCGUACUGUAAAACUUUCAAGUCACUGGCUACCUCUGCCUGUUAGUGCAGCUUGUUUGUUGGCUGCCAUUGACAUCUCUCUUUUCCCGAUGAUUAUCAGCCUUGCCUACAAUUUAAGAUUUUUU